CUAAUGUGACAGUGAGCUGUAAAAGUCUCCUUCCAAAACAGACCAAGGAGAGAGGAGCCAUCAGUCCUGCGUGGCCUUCUGCACUGCGGGAAAUAGGGCAUUUUAUUACAGAACGGCAGGUUGUCACAAAAGCUGAUGCUACAGUCACUUCUUAGCUUGGCAGUUACAGAGUUAAUUUUCUGGGACAGUAUUUUCCCAGGUGGAAAGGCAGCAGAGAAGAGAAGUAUACCUGGGAGAAGAGGUAUUGGGUGGUUGCAUAAAUGCUUCGAUUGGAGCCAGGUAUCCUUGUCAGGAAGUUUGCUGGAUGGCAAAACUGCCUCUCCUACGCUAUCAUUUUGUGGUAAAGAAGGUUGUGUUUGGAUCACAUUCUAAAUAGGCAAAGGUACUCCACAGGGAACCGCCUCUGCUGUCGGCUCUGAGAAGUGGAAGGUUUUGUGCAUAUAUUCAGUUCAUUCUGAAAUCUCAGAUGUCAUCUCCUCAGCCCAUUUCCAUAAUUACUUAUGUGGAACCACAUCUUGCAGCCAUGAUGAAAAUGGAAAAGAAAGAAAGAAAAGAGUAGGAGUUAAAAACAAAAGAAAGAAAAAAAAAGGUGUCUAAAAACCCCACUAGUCUCUGUCUGCCCAAACCAUGGAGCUGAUGUCUUGCCUAGGGGAAUCUGUGCAAAGAUCUUAGUUCUGUGUCUUUUUAGCCUCAUUCCAGAAGUCCCGAUUUCAACUUGUGUAAGAUAAAAGAGCAUGUGUUUUUCAGUAUGUUUUAAUUAGCUGUGGUUUUCAGAAUCUAUAAUUUAUAUAACUUUGAGAAUCUACUGACACCGAGUCAAUUUUUGGAUUUUUGCUUUUUUGGGUUUAUUAUUUAUAAAGCUCCUGGUUUUUAAUAUUUAAAUAAUCAUUCUCGACUUUGAAAUCAUUCCACAUCUUGCCCCCUCCUAGUUCAUUUCUCUCUCCCGUGUGGGCUGGACUCCCAGAUCCCUUGUGAUUUGUGGCAAAUUUCCCACAGAACUCUGUGACUAACCCCAGCCUUACCAGUGUGGUUACUGCCUUGGUGACUGCUGGAAGCUGUACAGCAGAUUUGCAAAGGGAACUGACUGGACAACACGUGCUGCAGCACGCCCUCCUUUCUGUCCUCUCAGGAUGCUGUGGGGUUUUGGUUUCAUUCUAGAGGUAGUGAUUAACUAUAGUUCAGUCCUAUCACUUUGGGAAGCAAAUAACCCAGUCCAAUUUUUUUUGGUUAAUUGAUGGGCUGAGUAGUCCAUAGCAAGUGUUUUAAUUUUGGUCUGUCUCUGAAGUUAUUAACAUUACAGAAAUUAAUUAUCAUAUGUGCAUAAAAUUGCCUUAACCAAAUUGCAUUUCUUCCUGGGAAGAUUACCGAGCAGAUAUCAUUCUAUUGCCGCAAUUGUACUGUAAAGGCAAAUGUUUGUAUUGUGUUAUCUCAACUAAACUUAGGAGUCUAUAGUCUUGUUUUAUUAAGUGUCUCACACAGAUUUAUAGUUUCCUUUAGCUCUGGCUUCUAGCUUCGUAUCAAGCUCUUCUCUGCAGGGAGUGAAGAAAAUAUUUCUAAGCCUAUAAUGUUCAUCUUUUCCUGACAUGCUUUAUUGUGAUAUAUUAAUUAUAUUUAAAUAACAUUCAUUAAAACUGUACUUGUCACUUCAAGAUUUUAAAAUCGGUGUCAGGGAAAAUUAAAGCCUUUGUUUCAAAUUCUCUUUCUGAUUAUCUUCUCUCUAAUUGACUUUCGCUCCUUUCCAGUCAAGUUUUAAUUUCCUUGUGUGGCUAUAUAAAACUGUCCAGUUCUAUUUUUCUUUCUUCCGUCUUGCUUUGCAUUUCUGGCCUACUGUUGUGUAACUGAUCCAUUUUCAUUGCCUACUAAGUAUAAGUACUGUGCACAAUGAAGACCCUAGGAUGUGCCUGUGAAAAAGUUGUGGUCAAAGCGUUCUUUGCAGACCAAUUUUUAUUUCAUAUUAAUUUUACUUAAUGUAUUUAAUCCUAGAUUUGUUUACUAGUUUCAACUAUAAAACCCAGAAGAUUUCUGAUCCCCACUGAAGAAGAGCACAUGUAUGAAACUGUGUAACUUCGCAGUCAACUGUGAAGAGGUGUAACACAAUAAUACCAAGCCAUAAUUGAGAUGCAUUGGAUGUUUAUCAUGACUAUACUGACAAGAAUUUGAUCACCCAGUGCCAUUUAAUAGACUGUCUCCCGGAAGUUUGUCCUGCUUUCUAGGUUGUGUUAAUGGUCUGACAGAAGUUCAAAACUUACUGCACAUCUUGUUGGCAAAAAACAAAGGAAACAAAAUGCCCCAAACCAGAACUGUAACAUGCAAAUAGAUACUUCAUCAAUGUAUUCUUUAAAAGAGGAGUUAUCAGUAUGCUUUGUAUUUUUAAAGGAGGAAAAAUAGAACCACUAACAGGACACCUGGGUGUUGUGUCUCAGCUAAACAAUAUGCCUUCAAAAACAUGCUUCUACUUUCACAGUGUUUCUUAUUCACGGCUGCCAGAUCAGAGUAGACGUACCUGUUGAUGCUGACCUGCGUGAUAACAUCCCUGUGAAGUUCAUUGGCUAACGACGUGCCAGCAGACCAAGGUGCACUUUGAAUAUAAAGUCGGCAGGGAAUUAACUGGGGCUUUGAUCCCUUUGCCAUCUGGUGGUACUGAACUUAGCAUUCCCUGAGGGGUGGGGAAGGAGUAUUGCUCCUUUUGCAGUAUUUUGCCUACUGGAGAAAGAUAAAGUUGAUUGAAUGGAAUGCUUAAAAAUCAUUGCCACGUCUGAAAGUAUUAUAAGGAGGAAGAUAUUUGUAAAGAUGGAAAGAAGUUGCCAUAAUGUAGUCAAAGCACAAGUAAACUGAGAGAAAAGGCUGUCAGAGAAUGAAGUCAGUCUUCAUCAUUGAUAAAUAUUGGCUUCAUCAAGUGCAGUGCAGGAUGCAACAUCUCCAAGGCAGAAUUUUUUUAAUACUUUCUUUGACAUCACAAGGAGCUGUUGUAUUCCACACUACAUCAAAUAUAUGUUUUCCAGCAGACUUUAUUAACUUAUUAAAUCAGCAAGAAGAAAUAGCCACUUUGUUCUAUUUAAUUUAAAACAAUAAAACUAAAUAAUAAAAGUGUGGCUUCAUAAUGUAGUCUCAUGUUAGAUAAGAAGGUCCUUUAUUCAAUAUUAGAAUUUCUUUCAGUAUUAAUGGAGUUUUCUUUACAUCCAUAUGUUUAAGUACGUGACAAAACAUAGGGGCCUAUAUGUUUGAUAGCAUGUGCCGUAUAAUUAAAUGUGAAAAGUCUUUGUUGAUGCAACUAAUAAGGUUCUGAAUUUAAAUGCACACAAGUCUAUAAAGUGAAACUUAUACAAAAUUAAAGAAAAAAGGAAACACGAUUAUUUAGGUUGCAUAUAUCGUAUGUGAAGGUAUGAUAACUUUGAUAAGAACAUCAAGCCUUUAUUUUCAUAGAUUCAUAGAGCUUAAAGCCCUGCCUACCCUGUUGUGUACUACAGCCAUAGACUUUUUCCAGACAACUUCUGUAUUAGAUUCAUGAUGUCCAUGUUGGGGAAAUGUAAAUUUAUGAAUUUAUAAAUGAGAAUUUGUAAAUUUAAUGAAGGUCUGAGUAGUCUAUUGAGCAUGUCACCCUAAGAUAAUGUUGAAAACAGAAUUUAAAGAAUGGGGUGACAUGAGGAGUGAUAAGAAUAUCCAGAACUAGUAAUUUUAAAUCCUUGGCUUCACAAUCUAACCUGUCCCCUAACUAACUGAGGUUUCUCUGUCAGCCGGUCACUUCACUGGUGUACCUGAGAGAAUUUCUUGCACUUUCCUUCCAAGUCACCGACACUAGCUGGACUUGGACAGAAAAAAAUUGUUUGAAGAAGUGAUAUGGGUCUGAUCUGGCAGUUGCUUUGAUAUUAUGCUAUAUAUAUCUGGAAGAAUUACGUCAAUUUUUAAAUCCUGUUCUUGAUUUAUUUCAUAUGCAAUGAUACUGAUAGCCUAGAAAUCCCUCCAAAAGUACUUGGAGCUUAGCUGAAACACAGGGAUGAAUGGCAUGAGGGAGGGUUAUGCGAGUCAAAGCCUGAGUUUGGACCAUCAAAAAAGCCUGUGAUUAAAAACAAAAAAGGGACUUGACUAUCUGUUUGAUUUUUGACACCAUAUCCUAGAAGUUAAUGAAUUCCCAGUCCUUCCUAUUGAAAUAUCAACUCCUAUAGCUUGAGAAAGCGUCUAGAAUUAUAUACAAGUGGCUUGGCUCUUCUGAAAAGAGAAGACCUACCUCAUAAUUCUCAUUUCUUGAAUUCAUGUUAAAGCCAACAGGAGCUCUGGAUACCUGGUGCCAUGUCAAGGAAGUGCUCAGUUUGCCCACUGCAACUCUGAGCUCAGACUCUUGGGUUGUAAAUAUGGAGGAACUUGUCAAAUAUCUUGUUUCGGAGCGUGAAUGUGUUUGUUACUCUCAAGUCUGUGACAGAUUUGGAAUAGCAAUUUUUUGAACUGACAAAAGCUUUCAAGAGCACCAACAGUAACAGUGUGUCAGUUUUAACAGUGAAUUUGGUGUCUUCUGUCAAUUUGUGAAACCCCUGUUAUGUUAUUUUAAAUGUUUCUACGUUAUUUUAGGUGUUUAUUUUUGCAUUUGAUAUAAAUGUCUUGAAAAUAUUUGGAGGCUACAGUUCCAGCUUUUUGAUUUGUGCUCAUGCUUUACUUAAUCCACCUGUUUUUCUGCCUGUGCAUGUAGAAGUCUGGAGCAGACACAAAUAAAUAUGAAAACAUAGGUGCAUUGUAGCUUUAUUUGUUCUUUUCAAUAAAUAUAGUUUUGAUCAACUUUAA